AGAAUCAACGCUGGCGGCGUGCCUAACACAUGCAAGUCGAACGAGAAAGUGGAGCAAUCCACAAGUAAAGUGGCGCACGGGUGAGUAACACGUGACUAACCUACCCUUGAGUGGGGGAUAACCUAGAGAAAUCUGGGCUAAUACCGCAUAAUACCUUCGGGUCAAAGGAGCAAUUCGCUUAAGGAGGGGGUCGCGGCCGAUUAGUUAGUUGGCGGGGUAAUGGCCCACCAAGACUAUGAUCGGUAUCCGGCCUGAGAGGGCGCACGGACACACUGGAACUGAAACACGGUCCAGACUCCUACGGGAGGCAGCAGUGGGGAAUUUGCGCAAUGGGGGAAACCCUGACGCAGCAACGCCGCGUGGAGGAUGAAGUCCCUUGGGACGUAAACUCCUUUCGAUCGGGACGAUAAUGACGGUACCGAGAGAAGAAGCCCCGGCUAACUUCGCGCCAGCAGCCGC
rnacentral:rRNA from 1 species